CUGGCAUCAAAUGACCACACAGAAGAUAGUGCUAGAAAUGCCAGGAUGGCUUACUUAGUGCUGAUGGAAGACACUGCCUGGUAUAACGCCCAUCAGUCAAUGGGAGUGAAUGAGCGUUGCGAGCAAGCUUGAUUAGUGCUUGGUGUAGUGGGAUAAGAGGGCGCGAUGAGUUUGUCACGUUUCCUACAGCGCUCAGCUGCACCUGACUUCAUUGGCACGUUUCUGCCCGUCACCCUCAAAACCGUCUUUCACGACUUCGUUUCUCAAAGAAGUUCUCAGCAUCCUGGCUGAGCAGGUCCCUUCAGUUCAUUUGUGUCCUCGGAAAGCAAGAUUAAAGGGGAAAGUCGCCGCUGUAUAUUUAUGUUUUCAUUGCUAGAAGGGAACUGAUUUCCUUGCAUUUAGUUCUGUAGCUGUAAUACACAAGGGCGGAUUUGCGUCACCAGAGCAACUUGCUGGUCGAGAUAAAGUUGCACAAAUAUUGAAAAGGGAAGUGCUCGCGCUCAUUAUAAAGUUUUUCGCCGGAAGAAAUAAGGAUUUCUGCUGUAUCCGAAAAUACUAACGCCGCUUCUAUUUUUGGUACAAAUCUCGCAGGCAUAUCCGCUCAUUUAGUCCGAGUUGGAGCCUAUCAAAAACAGGAGAUGACCUGAACUUCAGUGAGUCCUGAGCUUCCUGCAGCCUUCUUGCUCGUAUGCAAGAGAAGGAGGGAUUGUGCCCCCCCCUCCCCCGGACAUGGGUUUCUAAAUAUACUCGCUGCUUUCCAGACGUCCAGGGAGGGGAGACGGGAAACAAAAUUAGGGAGUGGUGGGAGGAAGCUGAGAUGAGUGGUUGAAACCAGACCAAUGGAGGAGGGGAGGGAUCGGGCCCCAAGUCAAGUGAAAGAAACUGCAGACUCUUAACCUCAUGCCUGAGUUAGCUCUAGAGGGAAGCGUCGAUUAUCAUGGAGUGCUGCUGCCAGCCAGACCAAUGCAUUUUAGAAAAGAAGAAACAACUAUACCUCUUGUUACACUUCCAAACAAUGUCCAGGUAUGGAGAUACCUCUUAGAAGUGUUGUUCUCUGCUCACCUCAGUGAUGCGUCCCCUACUUCGCAUGAGGAGAGAAAGGGUUUCUCUUUUCUAGACACUCACUUUUUGCCACUCUUAAAGCCCAACCGUAGUUCUGAUCGUACAUAUUCGGCACUUGAUCGCGGCGCACAGUUAUAAAACACAACCUUUGCCAUUCGCAUCCUAGGACUUCCUUGGUAAACGUUUACUAAAUGUGUGUGUUUGAUAAAUACUAGAGCUGCAGCUCUGUCGUAAAGUUGCCUUGGGAUAUUUCGCUUUGAACAGGUCUUUCAAUGAACAGGUUUCCCAGGAUUCCCCCCUUCCUCCCAGAUUAGUUCAUUUAGAAAUGAACAUUGUCAUUUUAUUACUAUGCUUCUUGAUAAAGUGCCCUAUCUGUAGAUCAGAAUCAAAGGGAAUCAUUACCAAGUGGCAAAAAGUAACUGUGUCCAGAAAAGAAAACCCCCGUUCUCUGCUGCUUGCUCUAAAGUAGGUCGAGCAGCCGUGAGAUGAACAGAGAACUUUUUACGAGACACUGUCAUGUACAUGGCUGGGAUCCUACUGAAGAAACACACCUUAUCCUCUUCUAAAAUAGAUUGACAACAUUUUUUCGUCUGGCUGAAAAGAACACACUUGCUUUAAAGGCAUCUGACAAGGAGACAUGGAUGGGAUUUUGCCUCUACCCGGCAAAUCUUUACAUUUUAAAAAAUAUGAAAUGUUGAAAUCUAAUUUUCCGUUCCCCAAAUACCCUUAGUUUCCGGAUAUAUCUUUACAAUUCAUCAUGUUUCUAUUAUUUUGCUUAGUCCCAUUAAAAUAAAUGCUGAGAUGUCUUCUAUAAUGAGGUGUGUAUGCGUACAUGGAUUCCCAUAAGCUAUUUAUGUUGGCACUUGGCUGAGAAAUACAACAAUCUAAGGUUACAGGUGAUUUCAUUUUUUUCACUACUACAUUGGACGUGAAGAAAGAAAGAGAAAUGUUUGAAAUUGUUGCUUUCCACCGAAAACUCUCGGAAUUUUGCAAACGAUUUCAAUUUUUUAAAACGAACAAACAACCAAACAACCUGGCUGCUGAAAAUUAAAUGCAUAAGAACUGUUAAAAAUUCCUUGUAUAUGAAGAUACUGUAAAAAAUAAAAUAUCUUCCCCCAGAUGGAGAUUUGGAUAUUAAACACAUCAGUUGCGUUGAAACCUUGUUAGUAAAGUCCUGAAGAAAAUGUAGUUACUUAUUUUCCCUCUCCUAAAUAUUUGUUUUAUUUGGUUUGCUGUACUUACAAGACACUCACCGAGUCUUUACGGUGAAUUUACAAAGCAAACAGAAAAGUGUAAGCACAUUCUUGACAAAAGUAUGCAGUAAAAAUGUAGUUAGUACCAUUGUCUCCGAGACUUGUCGCUAUUAUUUAUACGAAGCCCAGAGCCAACAGAGCCGUGUUCACGUAAGUACCUACACUGCACUUUCUAUUAAAUCUACACUCUGUUACAGACCGGCCAAGUCUCACUUGUUUGGAAGGACACGUCUUUAAUUUGAAACUAUUUUAAGGCAAGUGUUCGCUCUCGUUGUGAAGGAUUUGACUGUGUGUUUGAAUGAAACGUUUUGCAAUCAUAACUGGUAAUUAAGGCAUACCUCUAAGUCAAUCUGUUACAGCUUGACCGUCCUGUGUGUAGACUAAUAGAGCAGAAUUUAGGGAGGAAGUGAGGGAGAAGAGGGCAGCACUAGACA